CACCGCGGUUAUACGAGUGAGCCCAAGCUGUUAGACACCGGCGUAAAGCGUGGUUAAGAUGAUCCCAAUACUAAAGCCGAACGCCUUCUAUACUGUUAUACGUUUCCCGAAGGUAAGAAGCCCGAUCACGAAAGUAGCUUUAACUAUAUCUGAACCCACGAAAGCUAGGGUA
rnacentral:rRNA from 1 species